AUGGCAACGAAGGCCCCCGCCGUCGCGGCGCUCCUCCUCCUCGCCGCCGCCGCCCUCCUGCUCGCCCGCGGCGCCGAGGCCGGGGCCGGGGAGGUGCCGCUGAGCUGGGAGCUGGGCGUGGAGGACGUCGCCGACGACGGGUUCGGCUUCGCGGGCGCCGGCGGCGACGAGGCGGUGGCGCGGCGCGUGCUGCAGAGCGGCAACGGCUACAUCAGCUACGGCGCGCUGCGGAGGGACAACGUGCCCUGCUCCCUGCGCGGCACCUCCUACUACAACUGCCGCCCCGGCGGCCAGGCCAACCCCUACUCCCGCGGCUGCUCCGCCAUCACGCGCUGCCGCGGCUGA
rnacentral:rRNA from 1 species